rnacentral:rRNA from 1 species
GACGAACGCUGGCGGCGUGCUUAACACAUGCAAGUCGAGCGGAAAGGCCCUUCGGGGUACUCGAGCGGCGAACGGGAGAGUAACACGUGAGUAACCUGCCCCAGACUUUGGGAUAACCCUCGGAAACGGGGGCUAAUACCGGAUACGACACAGCUCCGCAUGGGGUCUGUGUGGAAAGUUUUUCGGUUUGGGAUGGGCUCGCGGCCUAUCAGCUUGUUGGUGGGGUGAUGGCCUACCAAGGCGACGACGGGUAGCCGGCCUGAGAGGGCGACCGGCCACACUGGGACUGAGACACGGCCCAGACUCCUACGGGAGGCAGCAGUGGGGAAUAUUGCACAAUGGGCGGAAGCCUGAUGCAGCGACGCCGCGUGAGGGAUGACGGCCUUCGGGUUGUAAACCUCUUUCGGCAGGGACGAAGCGUAAGUGACGGUACCUGCAGAAGAAGCGCCGGCCAACUACGUG